CCUACGGGCGACAGCAGUGAGGAAUAUUGGUCAAUGGACGAGAGUCUGAACCAGCCAAGUAGCGUGAAGGAUGACUGCCCUAUGGGUUGUAAACUUCUUUUAUAUGGGAAUAAAAUGUUCCACGUGUGGGAUUUUGUAUGUACCAUAUGAAUAAGGAUCGGCUAACUCCGUGCCAGCAGCCGCGGUUAUACGGAGGAUCCGAGCGUUAUCCGGAUUUAUUGGGUUUAAAGGGAGCGUAGGUGGAUUGUUAAGUCAGUUGUGAAAGUUUGCGGCUCAACCGUAAAAUUGCAGUUGAAACUGGCAGUCUUGAGUACAGUAGAGGUGGGCGGAAUUCGUGGUGUAGCGGUGAAAUGCUUAGAUAUCACGAAGAACUCCGAUUGCGAAGGCAGUUCACUGGACUGCAACUGACACUGAGGCUCGAAAGUGUGGGUAUCAAACAGGAUUAGAUACCCGUGUAGUC
rnacentral:rRNA from 1 species